CUUGUAGGCGGUUUGUCGCGUCUGCUGUGAAAGGCCGGAGCUUAACUCCGUGUAUUGCAGUGGGUACGGGCAGACUAGAGUGCAGUAGGGGAGACUGGAAUUCCUGGUGUAGCGGUGGAAUGCGCAGAUAUCAGGAGGAACACCGAUGGCGAAGGCAGGUCUCUGGGCUGUAACUGACGCUGAGAAGCGAAAGCAUGGGGAGCGAACA
rnacentral:rRNA from 1 species